GAAGUAGUGGAUGUCAUACUUCCAAGAAAAGCUUGCACUGUCAUAAAUAAAACGCCUGUACCAUAACCGACACAGGUGGGUAGGUAGAGUAUACUAAGGGGCGCGAGAUAACUCUCUCUAAGGAACUCGGCAAAAUGACUCCGUAGCUUCGGGAGAAGGAGUGCCUUAUUCGUAAGGCUGCAAUAACAAGAUCCAAGCAACUGUUUAUCAAAAACACAGGUCUCCGCUAAGUCGUAAGACGAUGUAUGGGGGCUGACGCCUGCCCAGUGCCAGAAGGUUAAAGAAGUCGGUUAGCAUUAGCGAAGCUGGUAACUGAAGCCCUGGUGAACGGCGGCCGUAACAAUAACGGUCCUAAGGUAGCGAAAUUCCUUGUCGGGUAAGUUCCGACCCGCACGAAAGGCGUAAUGAUUUGGAUACUGUCUCGGAGAGGGGCUCGGUGAAAUAGACUUGUCUGUGAAGAUGCGGACUACCUGCACCAGGACAGAAAGACCCUAUGAAGCUUUACUGUAACUUGAAAUUGAAAUUGGACUUUAUUCGCGCAGUAUAGGUGGGAGGUGUUGAUUAUAAUCUUGCGGGAUUAUUGGAGCCAUCAGUGAGAUACCACUCUUGUAAUGUUAGAUUUCUAACUUUGAAUCAUUAUCUGGUCAAAGAACAGUUUCAGGCGGGCAGUUUGACUGGGGCGGUCGCCUCCUAAAUGGUAACGGAGGCGUACAAAGGUUUCCUCUGAACGGGUAGAAAUCGUAUCUAGAGUGUAAAGGCAUAAGGAAGCUUGACUGUGAGACCUACAAGUCGAGCAGGGACGAAAGUCGGUCUUAGUGAUCUGACGGUACUGAGUGGAAAGGCCGUCACUCAACGGAUAAAAGUUACUCUAGGAUAACAGGCUGAUCUCCCCCAAGAGUUCACAUCGACGGGGAGGUUUGGCACCUCGAUGUCGGCUCAUCGCAUCCUGGGGCGGUAGUACGUCCCAAGGGUUGGGCUGUUCGCCCAUGAAAGCGGUACGCGAGCUGGGUUCAGAACGUCGUGAGACAGUUCGGUCCAUAUCCGGUGUAGGCGUUAGAAUAUUGAGAGGAGCCUUCUUUAGUACGAGAGGACCGAGAAGGACAUACCUCUGGUGUACCAGUUAUCGUGCCAACGGUAAACGCUGGGUAGCUAUGUAUGGAGUGGAUAACCGCUGAAAGCAUCUAAGUGGGAAGCCCACCUCAAGAUAAGUAUUCUCAUC
rnacentral:rRNA from 1 species